rnacentral:rRNA from 1 species
AGCGGCGGACGGGUGAGUAACGCGUGGGUAACCUGCCUCAUACAGGGGGAUAACAGUUGGAAACGGCUGCUAAUACCGCAUAAGACCACAGCACCGCAUGGUGCGGGGGUAAAAACUCCGGUGGUAUGAGAUGGACCCGCGUCUGAUUAGCUAGUUGGUAAGGUAACGGCUUACCAAGGCGACGAUCAGUAGCCGACCUGAGAGGGUGACCGGCCACAUUGGGACUGAGACACGGCCCAA